AGAGAGCAAGGGCUUUCUAGAGAGACCCUGACUCCAAAAAAUAAAAGUAAAUAUAAUUUUAAUGUUAUUAUUGCAGGGGUGGGGUGUGAGAAGAGGUCAGAGGCCAACUCUCUUCACUGAGUUCUGAGAACUGAACUUGGGUCUUCUUGGUUUAGGAACACAAUUUCCAAUGGGCAACUCUUUCCAGUCCUGCACAUGAAGUUGGGAUGCCAAGAGUGAGAGACCCUGGAAUCUGGUUCUAGCUCAUGAUAGAUACAGGACUGAUGGAUCGAAAUUCUGCUGAGUUUUCCGGAUUCUACCAAUCUGUAUAACUGGAAGAUCCAGACCACCACCACCCCCCGCUGAUAAGUGCCAAUCUGUCUGUCACACCCAUCGCCCUACAUGGGAUGUUUGCCAGCAAUUCUGAUUCUGUUUUCUUUGGCUCGUAGGGAACUUAGUAGGACAGAGGCCAGAAAGGGUUUUUGGCCUCAGCCACCGUUACAGUGGCUAAAAGCUACUGUCUUUUGAAGCAACUUUCUCACCCAAACACCCCGAUUGGGACCCCAGCAUGCACACAGCUCUCCCAGACUCCACACCGGAAAAAAAUCCAGAUCCAGGGAUCCUGCUCCAGGACCUGCAACGACAGUUUCCUAAGGCACACUCUUUCAGUCAUCUGCUAAUUAGAAAUUUCAUUUUUAAAUGUUAAACCUAAGUGCAGAGUGAAUCCUGUAUCCCCUGCAUCCUCAGGAGAUGGAGGUGGAAGAAUAAGAGUUCAAGGCCAUCCUCAGCUACUCGACCAGUUAGAGACCAGCCUGGAUUACACAACCCUGCCUCAAAAACCAAAAAUAGAGCAUGUUAAACCGUAGGAAAUAGAACAUCGCCAUGUUUUUUAUAGGUAGUAUUUACUGCAAAACAGAAACAUGAUAUCCUGAAAGAUGUGUGUGUGUGUGUGUGUCUGUCUGUCUGUCUGUCUUAUUUUCUGGCACAUGGGCCUUUACAUAAGGAUGGGUCUUCU
rnacentral:lncRNA from 1 species